rnacentral:lncRNA from 1 species
CCAUCAAUAGUGUUGCUUUGCUGUGUUGGAAAUUCUAUUUGUUGUAUUAAGAAAAUCUGCAGCAGUUAGUUUUAUCAUUGUUCUGAGGCAACAGUUUAUGUCUACUUUGCUGUCCUAGAUUCUGAUUUUUUCAUUUCAUUCUGCGGCAGCAAUCAGUCCCAUUGCCAAAACUGCUAUGUUUUCUGUUUUGGAAUGGGAUCCUUGAAACUGUGUAUUUACUGUUCUGUGUUUUUUCUUCAGGUGCGUUUCAAAUUGUGUCUUGUGCUGGAAUCAUUCCGCAUAAAAGCAACUUUUCAUCAUGUUCAUCUGGUGUUAUCCAUAGUCAGCAGUGUUGUCCUUUUGUUAUGGAUGGGAUCCUGAAUUGCUGUUUUCCCAUUUUGUGUUUUAGUGUGUUUCAUGUUAAGCCAUGUGUUGGCUUUAUUCAGUAUAAAAGUGGUUUUGCAUCUUGCUCUCCGUUCAGGUGUGGCGAGCCUUUUUAAGAAAUGCAGGUCAGUUGUUGUGGCAGAAUCCAAGUUGGUAUUCUGCAUAACUUUGCAGGUCAAAGUAAAUACUAUCUCCAGCUUGAAAUCUGAUUUUUAGAUGAAGUGGCGUGGCUAGUCGCGGGUGUUGGAUGAAGGUUUAGAAAAACAUUGAUGGUUAUUGAAGGAUUUAUGUCAUUAUUUGAAGGUUUUAUUACUUUUGUCUUUGCUUUGUUUAAAAAUUCUUCUGGUCUUGAGUUUGUCUGGUUGUAGACUUGGUUUGAACUUUUUGAAGUGGCGCAUUGGGUGUUAGUUUGGAUGCAGCUUUGUGUUGGAGAUUUAAACUUAAGGCUUGUGUUGGAGAUCAUAAAGUCUUUUAAAAUUCCUUGAAAUCCCAAUUGAAUACACCCCCUUAAGACUCGGAUUAUUUUUCAUUCUCGUAGGCCUUGUACUUGUAAUUUUCAAUAUAUGAUUUAGAUACUCUAAAGCCAGUAAAAUGUAAACGGAGGGAUAAUGGAUGUCACCAAAUAAUCAGUUUACACCAAACACAGGAAAAACAAGAAAAAUUCUAUUAAUGAAUG